GCCCCGGUAUCCCAAUUGGCAGAGGAUGCGGAUUCAAAACCCGUAAAGUGUGGGUUCGACUCCCACCCGGGGCAC
rnacentral:tRNA from 1 species